GAAAUAUUUGGGAUUUUUUGGCUUUGUUUCAGGGCUUUACCUGCUGGAAGCGCCAGGGAAUAUUUUGCAAUAUUUACAAUAUUUGCAAGAUAUUUGGAUUUUUUUUUUUUUUUUUUUUUUUUUUUUUUUUUUUUUUUUUCCCUUAUUUUUGGCUUUGUUUCGGCUUUACCUGCUGGAAGCGCUCAGGAAUAUUUACAAUAUUUGCAAUAUUUAUAAUAUUUUUGGAUUUUUUUUGGGGGCCUUUACCUGCUGGAAGGCGCUCAGGAAUAUUUGCAACAUUUACAACAUUUGCAAUAUUUUGGAUUUUUGGGUUUGCCUCAGGCCUUUACCUGCUGGAAGCGCUCAGGAAUAUUUCCAACAUUUACAAUAUUUACAAUAUUUUGGAUUUUUGGCUUUGUCUCAGGCCUUUACCUGCUGGAAGCGCUCAGGAAUAUUUCCAACAUUUGCAAUAUUUACAAUAUUUUGGAUUUUUUAGGGCCUUUACCUGCUGGAAGCGCUCAGGAAUAUUUGCAAUAUUUGUAAUAUAUCAAAUAUUCGGGAUUUUUGGCUUUGUUUCGCCUUUACCUGCUGGAAGCGCUCAGGAAUAUUUCCAACAUUUGCAAUAUUUACAAUAUUUUGGAUUUUUUGGGGCCUUUACCUGCUGGAAGCUCAGGAAUAUUUCCAACAUUUACAAUAUUUAUCAAAGAUUUGGGAUUUUUUAGGGCCUUUACCUGGAGGCAGCUUCAGGAAUAUUUCCAACAUUUACAAUAUUUACAAUAUUUUUGGAUUUUUUAGGGCCUUUACCUGCUGGAAGCGCUCAGGAAUAUUUCCAACAUUUACAAUAUUUACAAUAUUUUGGAUUUUUUAGGGCCCUUUACCUGCUGGAAGCGCUCAGGAAUAUUUGCAAUAUUUACAACAUUUGCAAUAUUUUGGAUUUUUUAGGGCCUUUACCUGCUGGAAGCGCUCAGGAAUAUUUGCAAUAUUUACAAUAUUCAGGAUUUUUUUGAUUUUUGGAGCUUUACCUGCUGGAAACGCUCAGGAAUAUUUCCAACAUUUACAAUAUUUACAAUAUUCAGGAUUUUUUUGGAUUUUGGAGCUUUACCUGCUGGAAGCGCUCAAAGCUCCGCCCUUGGCCGGGGCCCCGAACGCCGCCGCCGCCGCCGCCGCCGCCGGGACGAGCGCGAAGCCGCGCGGGGGCUCCGGGGGCAGCAGCGCGGGG
rnacentral:lncRNA from 1 species